UACAGAGGUCCCAAGCGUUGUUCGGAUUUACUGGGCGUAAAGGGUGCGUAGGUGGUCGGGUAAGUCUCAUGUGAAAUCUCCAAGCUCAACUUGGAAAUGGCAUGGGAUACUAUUCGGCUAGAGGAUUGGAGGGGGGACUGGAAUUCCCGGUGUAGCAGUGAAAUGCGUAGAUAUCGGGAGGAACACCAGUGGCGAAGGCGGCGAUCUGGGAAGAUACUGACGCUGAGGUGCGAAAGCGUGGGGAGCAAACAGG
rnacentral:rRNA from 1 species